rnacentral:rRNA from 1 species
GAUGAACGCUGGCGGCGUGCUUAACACAUGCAAGUCGAACGAGAAAUGUAGACGGAAACCUUCGGGCGGAAGCCUUCAUUUCGAGUGGCGGACGGGUGAGUAACGCGUGGGUAACCUGCCUCAUACAGGGGGAUAACAGUUGGAAACGACUGUUAAUACCGCAUAAGACCACAGCAUCGCAUGAUGCGGGGGUAAAAACUCCGGUGGUAUGAGAUGGACCCGCGUUCGAUUAGCUAGUUGGCGGGGUAACGGCCCACCAAAGCGACGAUCGAUAGCCGAUCUGAGAGGAUGACCGGCCACAUUGGGACUGAGACACGGCCCAAACUCCUACGGGAGGCAGCAGUGGGGAAUAUUGCACAAUGGGGGAAACCCUGAUGCAGCGACGCCGCGUGAGUGAAGAAGUACUUCGGUAUGUAAAGCUCUAUCAGCAGGGAAGAAAAUGACGGUACCUGAGUAAGAAGCCCCGGCUAACUACGUG